UAAGUCGAUGGUGAAAGCCUGCAGCUUAACUGUAGAAUUGCCAUUGGUACUGCUAUUCUUGAGUGCAGUUGAAGUAAGCGGAAUGUGUAAUGUAGCGGUGAAAUGCAUAGAUAUUACACAGAACACCAAUUGUGAAAACAGCUUACUAACCUGUAACUGACGCUGAGGCACGAAAGCGUGGGGAGCGAACAGGAUUAGAUACCCUGGUAGUCCACGCUGUAAACUAUGAUCACUCGCUGUUGGCGAUACACAGUCAGCGGCUAAGCGAAAGCAUUAAGUGAUCCACCUGGGGAGUACGUCCGCAAGGAUGAAACUCAAAGGAAUUGACGGGGGCCCGCACAAGCGGAGGAACAUGUGGUUUAAUUCGAUGAUACGCGAGGAACCUUACCUGGGCUUAAAUGCAGCUCGACGGACCGGGAAACUGGUCUUCCUUCGGGCGAACUGCAAGGUGCUGCAUGGUUGUCGUCAGCUCGUGCCGUGAGGUGUCGGGUUAAGUCCCAUAACGAGCGCAACCCCUAUUGUUAGUUACCAGCGAGUAAUGUCGGGGACUCUAACGAAACUGCCGGUGUAAACCGAGAGGAAGGUGGGGAUGACGUCAAAUCAGCACGGCCCUUAUGUCCAGGGCUACACACGUGUUACAAUGGCCAGUACAAAGGGCAGCUACCACGCGAGUGGAUGCUAAUCUCAAAAGCUGGUCUCAGUUCGGAUUGAAGUCUGCAACUCGACUUCAUGAAG
rnacentral:rRNA from 1 species